UACGGAGGGGGCUAGCGUUGUUCGGAAUUACUGGGCGUAAAGCGCACGUAGGCGGACAUUUAAGUCAGGGGUGAAAUCCCAGAGCUCAACUCUGGAACUGCCUUUGAUACUGGGUGUCUUGAGUAUGGAAGAGGUGAGUGGAAUUCCGAGUGUAGAGGUGAAAUUCGUAGAUAUUCGGAGGAACACCAGUGGCGAAGGCGGCUCACUGGUCCAUUACUGACGCUGAGGUGCGAAAGCGUGGGGAGCAAACAGG
rnacentral:rRNA from 1 species